rnacentral:lncRNA from 1 species
UGGAAGAGUUUCCAACCCUUAGUGUGGUUAAUGUAUCGGAGUCGACUGAGGGCCAAAAGACCCCUAAAGUGAAGCUGCUUUACAAGACGCUUAGCAAGAAGAAUUUUGCCACAGAUGCCUCUCUAACUCUUCUCUCCAGCCAGACACAAGCCCACCAGCGGGAGCAUAACACAAGUGCAGAUCUUCACGUUCCAGGGUUAAACUCUGUUGACCAUAGUCCUCGUAAUAAACAACACAAGGAAGUAAAGGUUUGUCACAGUUACACAGAGACAGUAGGCCUAAAGUCAGAUGCAAGGCUUGCUGACUUUGUCUUACACCCUUUGUUGAAAACCAAAGAUGGAGUAUUUGUAGGCUAUACUUUUCAAUGGCCUAAAUCUCCCUAUGUACCUGUCAAGGAGCUCAUUUGCCUUCCGUCCUUAAAAACCUCAAAAAUUAACAGAAAUCCAAGAAUUCAAGUCCAAGAGUCCAAGAAUGUGCGGAAGAGGGUGCCGUUCCAGCUGACAACAUUGACGUCAAAGCCGAAAAGUGAGCAUGGGUUGAGCUCCCCAGUGGCACAGCAAACUGUCCACCCAACAGACCUUGCCCUGGCCAAACCUGACACAGACACUGACCCCAACAGGGAGGAGGAGGAGGCCCAGACCCAGGCUCAUACCAGCCCACACCCUCCCCCAGCACCUAGGAUCCCCAGUGCUUUCCUCCUCAGGAACAAGCCUGUGGUGUUCCACAGUGUCAGGGAGAGGGUACUGAGAAGACACACCCAGCAGGACCUCUCAACGUACAAGUACAAACUGGACAGCAAGAAUGGUGGGGGUGGCAUUGACUGGGAUAGUCUGAGAAGACAGACCUAUCUGUGGAGGAAGCACAACCUUCCACCCAACUGUGACAGAGAGAAGCCAUUUCCCCCAGAGGACAUGACUGUCAGCCAGAAAGGCUUUGGUUUCUACCCCAUCCCAAAGGCCAUGCUCCAUCACGACCCAAGGAGCCCUCUGUCCAAAGGUCCAGCUGUGUGGCGCUGCCUGGAAUGUGUGGAUGGGAUGUGGUGUGGCCAUGGUGGUGGUCCACUAGCCUCCAUAUCCAAGUGCCUUAACUCAUUGGUGUCAAAGAGUUCCUUCAAGUUCUGUAGCAGAUCCAACCUCAGCUGUCAAAACCCCUUGCACCAACUCCUAGAUGGAGAUUACCUAAGUGAUGUGAAUCCAGGCAACAAGGGCACCAUCGCUCCUCAGAACUCCAUGAUGCACCUUCAGGACACAGCUUCACACUACAGUGACUGUCAAGGAGAGGAUAAUGAAUUUGGCUUAUGCUCAGAGAGAGAUGCUGAAGGAGGUCUAGGAGCCCUAGAGAGGCCGGGUAGGAGCUCUUAGGACAAAGGGCACAGGCCUUCAGGGUCCCAGCCAUCCCCUCCACCAUCUAUCGUCAACUCCGAUACCUGUGGAGAUGGUUAAACUUGAAUAUGACGAGACAGACACUGAACGAUCCAGGACUAAGAUCCAGGAGUAAAUGUACUCAUCAUGCCUGUGAACAUUCACAUAUUUCAUCCAGAGCUAUCCUUAUGCUUUAGAUAAAUACAUCUGGUAGCUUGCUUUUUUUUCAUGUCAAGUAUAGCCUAACAUGGUAAUGUAACAAUAUACUCUAAGUGUACAAAACAUUAAG